UGGUAUGGGGGAUAACGUCCGGAAACGGGCGCUAAUACCGCAUACGUCCCCCNUUGGAGGGGGAGAAAGGNUGGGGGAUCUUC
rnacentral:rRNA from 1 species